rnacentral:rRNA from 1 species
ACCCUUUAAUGUUUGAUGUUCUAACGUGGACCCGUAAUCCGGGUUGCGGACAGUGUCUGGUGGGUAGUUUGACUGGGGCGGUCUCCUCCUAAAGAGUAACGGAGGAGCACGAAGGUUGGCUAAUCCUGGUCGGACAUCAGGAGGUUAGUGCAAUGGCAUAAGCCAGCUUGACUGCGAGCGUGACGGCGCGAGCAGGUGCGAAAGCAGGUCAUAGUGAUCCGGUGGUUCUGAAUGGAAGGGCCAUCGCUCAACGGAUAAAAGGUACUCCGGGGAUAACAGGCUGAUACCGCCCAAGAGUUCAUAUCGACGGCGGUGUUUGGCACCUCGAUGUCGGCUCAUCACAUCCUGGGGCUGAAGUAGGUCCCAAGGGUAUGGCUGUUCGCCAUUUAAAGUGGUACGCGAGCUGGGUUUAGAACGUCGUGAGACAGUUCGGUCCCUAUCUGCCGUGGGCGCUGGAGAACUGAGGGGGGCUGCUCCUAGUACGAGAGGACCGGAGUGGACGCAUCACUGGUGUUCGGGUUGUCAUGCCAAUGGCACUGCCCGGUAGCUAAAUGCGGAAGAGAUAAGUGCUGAAAGCAUCUAAGCACGAAACUUGCCCCGAGAUGAGUUCUCCCUGAGACUUAGAGUCUCCUGAAGGAACGUUGAAGACGACGA